rnacentral:rRNA from 1 species
GUGAGGAACCUGCCUCAAAGAGGGGGACAACAGUUGGAAACGACUGCUAAUACCGCAUAAGCCCACAGGUCGGCAUCGACCAGAGGGAAAAGGAGCAAUCCGCUUUGAGAUGGCCUCGCGUCCGAUUAGCUAGUUGGUGAGGUAACGGCCCACCAAGGCGACGAUCGGUAGCCGGACUGAGAGGUUGAACGGCCACAUUGGGACUGAGACACGGCCCAGACUCCUACGGGAGGCAGCAGUGGGGAAUAUUGCACAAUGGGGGAAACCCUGAUGCAGCGACGCCGCGUGGAGGAAGAAGGUCUUCGGAUUGUAAACUCCUGUUGUUGAGGAAGAUAAUGACGGUACUCAACAAGGAAGUGACGGCUAACUACGUGCCAGCAGCCGCGGUAAAACGUAGGUCACAAGCGUUGUCCGGAAUUACUGGGUGUAAAGGGAGCGCAGGCGGGAAGACAAGUUGGAAGUGAAAUCUAUGGGCUCAACCCAUAAACUGCUUUCAAAACUGUUUUUCUUGAGUAGUGCAGAGGUAGGCGGAAUUCCCGGUGUAGCGGUGGAAUGCGUAGAUAUCGGGAGGAACACCAGUGGCGAAGGCGGCCUACUAGGCACCAACUGACGCUGAGGCUCGAAAGUGUGGGUAGCAAACAGGAUUAGAUACCCUGGUAGUCCACACCGUAAACGAUGAUUACUAGGUGUUGGAGGAUUGACCCCUUCAGUGCCGCAGUUAACACAAUAAGUAAUCC